AAAUAUGUUGUUAAACGAAUAUAAGCUGCUAACUUAAUAUUCAAGUGGUUAAAAUCCAUUUAUAUUUU
rnacentral:tRNA from 1 species